rnacentral:rRNA from 1 species
GAUGAACGCUGGCGGUCUGCUUAACACAUGCAAGUCGAACGAACUCUUCGGAGUGAGUGGCGGACGGGUGAGUAACGCGUGAGAAUCUGCCUGUGGGUCGGGGACAACCACUGGAAACGGUGGCUAAUACCGGAUGAGCCGAAAGGUAAAAAAUUUAUUGCCCACAGAUGAGCUCGCGUCUGAUUAGCUAGUUGGUAAGGUAAAAGCGUACCAAGGCGACGAUCAGUAGCUGGUCUGAGAGGAUGAGCAGCCACACUGGGACUGAGACACGGCCCAGACUCCUACGGGAGGCAGCAGUGGGGAAUUUUCCGCAAUGGGCGAAAGCCUGACGGAGCAAGACCGCGUGGGGGAGGAAGGUUUUUGGAUCGUAAACCCCUUUUGUCAAGGAAAAAGUUCUGACGGUACUUGACGAAUAAGCCUCGGCUAACUCCGUGCCAGCAGCCGCGGUAAUACGGAGGAGGCAAGCGUUAUCCGGAAUGAUUGGGCGUAAAGCGUCUGUAGGUGGCCAGCUAAGUCUGCUGUUAAAGAUCACAGCUCA